CUGACCCCUGCGCCACGACGGCGGCCGGCGAUCCUCACGGGGUCGCCGGCCGCUCGUGUGUUCGGGGUCGUGCCGCGUCAGUC
rnacentral:tRNA from 1 species